ensembl:lncRNA
CCAAAGAGCUAGAAGCAAGAUGCUUUGGGGCCCAACUCGUCCUUUGUAAAGAAGCCUGCACGUUGUGCCUUUCAGCUCUAGGGCAAUGGAGCACACCCAGAGCAGAAGUUCUACUUCAGCCUGAUGAGGCCUGCAAAGAAACUGCGUUUCACAGGCCUUUGUAAGAGAUGUUCCCGGUAGGCUGUAAGAGCACUGUGCAGAGCGAGUUGUUUCUUAGCUUCCCAAAGACCUGGAAGCAAGAUGCUUUGGGGCCCAACUCGCCCUUUGGAAAGAAGCCUGCACGUUGUGACUUUCAGCUCUAGGGCAAUGUAGAACACGCAGAGCAAAAGUUCUACUUCAGCCAUAUGAGGCCUGCAAGGAAACUGCGUUUCACAGGCCUUUGUAAGAGAUGUUCCCGGUAGGCUUCAAGAGCACUGUGCAGAGCGAGUUGUUUCUUAGCUUCCCAAAGAGCUGGAAGCAAGAUGCUGUGGGGCCCAACUCGCCCUUUGGAAAGAAGCCUGCACGUUGUGCCUUUCAGCUCUAGGGCAAUGUAGCACACGCAGAGCAGAAGUUCUACUUCAGGCAGUUCAGGCCUGCAAAGAAACUGCGUUUCACAGUCCUUUGUAAGAGAUGUUCCCGGUAGGCUGUAAGAGCACUGUGCAGAGCGAGUUGUUUCUUAGCUUCCCAAACAGCUGGAAGCAAGAUGCUUUGGGGCCCAACACGCCCUUUGGAAAGAAGCCUGCACGUUGUGCCUUUCAGCUCUAGGGCAAUGGAGCACACCCAGAGCAGAAGUUCUACUUCAGGCACUUCAGGCCUGCAAAGAAACUGCGUUUCACAGGCGUUUGUAAGAGAUGUUCCCGGUAGGCUGUAAGAGCACUGUGCAGAGCGCGUUGUUUCUUAGCUUCCCAAAGAGCUGGAAGCAAGAUGCUUUGGGGCCCAACUCGCCCUUUGGAAAGAAGCCUGCACGUUGUGCCUUUCAGCUCUAGGGCAAAGUAGCACACCCAGAGCAGAAGUCCUACUUCAGCCAGAUCAGGCCUGCAAAGAAACUGCGUUUCACAGGCCUUUGGAAGAGAUGUUCCCGGUAGGCUGUAAGAGCACUGUGCAGAGCGAGUUGUUUCUUAGCUUCCGAAAGAGCUGGAAGCUGGAUGCUGUGGGGCAAGUCUGCCCUUUGGAAAGAAGGCUGCACUUUGUGCCUUUCAGCUCUAGGGCAAUGUAGCACACCCAGAGCAGAAGUUCUACUUCAGCCAGAUCAGGGCUGGGAAGAAACUGCGUUUCACAGGCCUUUGUAAGACUCGUUCCCUGUAGGCUGUAAAACACCAGUGCAGAGCAAGUUGUUUCUUAGCUGCCCAAAGAGCUGGAAGCCCCACGCUGUGGGGCCUGUCUGCCCUUGAGGACACAAGGCAGGACUUUGUGCCUUGCAUCUCUAGGCCGAUGCAGGACACAGCAUAGCAGAAGUUCCACUUCAGCGGGAUCAGGCCUGGGAAGAAACUGCGUUUCACAGGCCUUUGUAAGACAUGUUCCCGGUGGGCUGUAAAACACCAAUGCAGAGCGAGUUGUUUCCUAGCUGCACAAAGAGCUGCAAGCUGGACGAUGAGGGACUUGUCUCCCCUUUUGGAAACAAGGCAGGAUUUUGUGCCUUGCAGCUCUAGGCCCAUGUAGGACACGGCAGAGCAGAAGUUCUACUUCAGCAGGAUCAGGCCUGGGAAGAAACUGCCUUUCACAGGCCUUUGUAAGACAUGUUCCAGGGAGGAUGGAAGAGCCCUGUGCAGAGCAAGUUGUUUCUUAGCUGCCGAAAGAGCUGGAAGCUGGACGCUGAGCGACUAGUCUCCCCUUGUGGAAACAAGGCAGGACUUUGUCCCUUGCAGCUCUAGGGACAUGUAGGACACGGCAGAGCAGAAGUUCUACUUCAGCGAGAUCAGGCCUGGGAAGAAACUGCGUUUCACAGGCCUUUGUAACACUCGUUCCCUGUAGGCUGUAAAACACUAGUGCAGAGGAAGUUGUUUCUUAGCUGCCCAAAGUGCUGGAAGCCCCACGCUGUGGGGCCUAACUGCCCUUGAGGACACAAGGCAGGACUUUGUGCCUUGCAGCUCUAGGCCGAUGAAGGACACGGCAUAGCAGAAGUUCUACUUCAGAGAGAUCAGGCCUGAGAAGAAACUGCGUUUCACAGGCCUUUGUAAGACAUGUUCCAGGUAGAAUGAAAGAGCCCCGUGCAGAGCAAGUUGUUUCUUAGCUGCCCAAAGAGCUGGAAGCUGGACACUGACGGACUAGUCUCCCCUUGUGGAAACAAGGCAGGACUUUGUGCCUUGAAGGUCUAGGGCCAUGUCGGACACAGCAGAGCAGAAGUUCUACGUCAGCGAGAUCAGCCCUGGGAAGAAACUGCGCUUCACAAGCCUUUGUAAGACUCGAUCCCAGUAGGCUGCAAACCUCCAGUGCAGAGCAAGUUGUUUCUUAGCUGCCCAAAGAGCUGGAAGUCCCAAGCUGUGGGGCAUGUCUGCCCUUGAGGACACAAGGCAGGACUUUGUGCCUUGCAGCUCUAGGCCGAUGUAGGACAUGGCAUAGCAGAAGUUCUACUUCAGCGAGACAAGGCAUGGGAAGAAACUGCGUUUCACAGGCCAUUGUAAGAAAUGUUCCCGGUACCCUGUAAGAGCCCUAUGCAGAGCGAGUUGUUACUUAGCAGCACAAAGAGCUGCAAGCCCCACGCUGUGGGGCCUGUCUGCCCUUGAGGACACAAGGCCGCACUUUGUGCCUUGCAGCUCUAAGCCCAUGUAGGACACGGCAGAGCAGAAGUUCUACUUCAGCGAGAUCAGGCCUAAGAAGGAACUGCAUUUCACAGGCCUUUGUAAGACAUGUUCCCGGUAGGCUGUAAGAGCCCUAUGCAAAGUGAGUUGUUUCUUAGCUGUCCAAGGAGCUGGAAGCUGGACGCUAAGGGACUUGUCACCCCUUGUGGAAACAAGGCAGGACUUUGUGCCUUGCAGCUCUAGGCCUAUUUAGGACACGGCAGAGCAGAAGUUCUACUGCAGCGAGAUCAGGCCUGGGAAGAAACUGCGUUUCACAGGCCUUUGUAAGACAUGUUCCAGGGAGGCUGGAAGAGCCCUGUCCAGAGCAAGUUGUUUCUUAGCUGCCCAAAGAGCUGGAAGCUGGAUGCUGAGUGACUAGUCUCCCCUUGGGGAAACAAGGCAGGACUUUGUGCCUUGCAGCUCUAGGGCCAUGUAGGACAUGGCAGAGCAGAAGUUCUACGUCAGCGAGAUCAGGCCUGAGAAGUAACUGCGUUUCACAGGCCUUUGUAAGACAUGUUCCCAGUAGGCUGUAAAACACCAAUGCAGAGCGAGUUGUUACUUAGCUGCCCAAAGAGCUGGAAGCUGGACGGUGAGGGACUAGUCUCCCCUUGUGAAAACAAGGCAGGACUUUGUGCCUGGCAGCUCUCGGCCCAUGUAGGACACUGCAGAGCAGAAGUUCUACUUCAGCGACAUCAGGCCUGAGAAGAAACUGCGUUUCACAGGCCUUUGUAAGACAUGUUCCUGGUAGGCUGUAAGAGCCCUGUGCAGAGCAAGUUGCUUCUUAGCUGAUCAAAGAGCUGGAAGCUGGACGCUGAGGGUCUAGACUCCCCUUGUGGACACAAGGCAGGUCUUUGUGCCUUGAAUAUCCGGGCCCAUGUAGGACACGGCAGAGCAGAAGUUCUACUUCAGCGAGAUCAGCCCUGGGAAGAAACUGCCUUUCACAGGUCUUUGUAAGACAUGUUCCCGGUAGGCUGUAAGAGCCCUAUGCAGAGCGAGUUGUUUCUUAGCUGCCGAAAGAGCUGGAAGCUGGACGCUGAGGGACUUGUCUCCCCUUGUGGAAACAAGGCAGGACACUGUGCCAUGCAGCUCUAGGCCCAUGUAGGACCCGGCAGAGCAGAAGUUCUACUUCAGCCAGAUCAGGGCUGGGAAGAAACUGCCUUUCACAGGCCUUUGUAAGACAUGUUCCGGGUAGGCUGUAAGAGCCCUAUGCACAGCGAGUUAUUUCUUAGCUGCCGAAAGAGCUGGAAGCUGGACGCUGAGGGACUUGUCUCUCCUUGUGGAAACAAGGCAGGACUUUGUGCCUUGCAGCUCUAGGCCCAUGUAGGACAUGGCAGAGCAGAAGUUCUACUUCAGUGAGAUAAGUUCUGGGAUGAAACUGCGUUUCACAGGCCUUUGUAAGACUCGUUCCCUUUAGGCUGUAAAACACCAGUCCGGAGCAAGUUGUUUCUUAGCUGCCCAACAAGCUGGAAGGCCUUCGCUGUGGGGCCAGUCUGCACUUGAGGACAAAAGGCAGGACUUUGUGCCUUGCAGCUCUAUGCCAAUGUAGCACACCGAGAGCAGAAGGUCUGCUUUAGCCAGAUCAGGCCUGCCAAGAAACUGCAUUUCAAAGGCCUUGGUAACAGAUGUUCCAGGUAGGUUGUAAGAGCCCUGGGCAGAGCCACUUGUUUCUUAUCUUCCCAAAGAGCUGGAAGCAAGAUGCUUUGUGGCCUCUCUACGCCUUUGCAAAGAAGCCAGCACUUUAGGCAUGGCAGCUGUAUGCCAAUGUAGCACACCCAGAGCAGAAGUUCUGCUUCAGCCAGAACAGGCCUUCCAAGAAAUUGCGUUUCACAGGCCUUGGUAGCAGAUGUUCCAGGGAGGUUGUCAGAGCACUAGGCAGAGCCAGUUGUUUCUUAGCUUCCCAAAGAGCUGGAAGCAAGAUGCAUUAGGGCUUCUCUGCCCCUUUGCAAACAAGGCAGCCCUUUGGGCCUGGCAUCUCUAUGCCAAUGUAGCACACACAGAGCAGAAGUUUUUCUUCAGCCAGAUCAGGCCUGCCUAGAAACUGCGUUUCACUGGCUUCUGUAAGAGAUGUUGCCGGUAGGCUGUAAGAACACUGGGCAGAGCCAGUUGUUUCUUAGCUCCAAAAAAAGCUGGAAGCAAGAUGGUUUGGGGCCUCUCUCACCCUUUGGAAACAAUGCAGCCCUUUGUGCCUGGCAGCUCUAGGCCAAUGUAGCACACCCAGAGCAGAAGUUCUACUUCAGCCAGAUCAGGCCUGCCAACAAACUGCGUUUCACAGGCCUUGGUAACAGAUGUUCCACAUAGGCUGUACGAGCACUGGCCAGAGCCGGUUGUUUCUUAGCUUCCCAAA